rnacentral:rRNA from 1 species
GGGUUGUGAGGUUAAGCGACUAAGCGUACACGGUGGAUGCCUAGGCAAUCAGAGGCGAUGAAGGACGUGCUAAUCUGCGAUAAGCGUCGGUAAGGUGAUAUGAACCGUUAUAACCGACGAUUUCCGAAUGGGGAAACCCAGUGCAAUUCGUUGCACUAUCGUUUGAUGAAUACAUAGUCAAACGAAGCGAACCGAGGGAACUGAAACAUCUCAGUACCUCGAGGAAAAGAAAUCAACCGAGAUUCCCCUAGUAGCGGCGAGCGAACGGGGAGCAGCCCAGAGUCUUAAUCAGCAUUAGCAUCAGGAGAACGGUCUGGAAAGGCCGGCAGUAAAGGGUGAUAGCCCCGUAUCCGAAGGUGUUAGUGUUGUGAACUCGACGAGUAGGGCGGGACACGUGUUAUCCUGUCUGAAUAUGGGGGGACCAUCCUCCAAGGCUAAAUACUCCUGAUUGACCGAUAGUGAACCAGUACCGUGAGGGAAAGGCGAAAAGAACCCCGGCGAGGGGAGUGAAAUAGAACCUGAAACCGUGUACGUACAAGCAGUGGGAGCACCUUUAUGGUGUGACUGCGUACCUUUUGUAUAAUGGGUCAGCGACUUAUAUUCUGUAGCAAGGUUAACCGUAUAGGGGAGCCGUAGGGAAACCGAGUCUUAACUGGGCGAAUGAGUUGCAGGGUAUAGACCCGAAACCCGGUGAUCUAGCCAUGGGCAGGUUGAAGGUUGGGUAACACUAACUGGAGGACCGAACCGACUAAUGUUGAAAAAUUAGCGGAUGACUUGUGGCUGGGGGUGAAAGGCCAAUCAAACCGGGAGAUAGCUGGUUCUCCCCGAAAGCUAUUUAGGUAGCGCCUCGUGAACUCAUCUUCGGGGGUAGAGCACUGUUUCGACUAGGGGGUCAUCCCGACUUACCAACUCGAUGCAAACUACGAAUACCGAAGAAUGUUAUCACGGGAGACACACGGCGGGUGCUAACGUUCGUCGUGAAGAGGGAAACAACCCAGACCGCCAGCUAAGGUCCCAAAGUCAUAGUUAAGUGGGAAACGAAGUGGGAAGGCUCAGACAGCCAGGAUGUUGGCUUAGAAGCAGCCAUCAUUUAAAGAAAGCGUAAUAGCUCACUGGUCGAGUCGGCCUGCGCGGAAGAUGUAACGGGGCUAAACUAUGCACCGAAGCUGCGGCAGCGAUAUGUAAAUAUUGUUGGGUAGGGGAGCGUUCUGUAAGCCUGUGAAGGUGUACUGUGAGGUAUGCUGGAGGUAUCAGAAGUGCGAAUGCUGACAUAAGUAACGAUAAUGCGGGUGAAAAACCCGCACGCCGGAAGACCAAGGGUUCCUGUCCAACGUUAAUCGGGGCAGGGUGAGUCGACCCCUAAGGCGAGGCAGAAAUGCGUAGUCGAUGGGAAACGGGUUAAUAUUCCCGUACUGGUGAUAAUUGCGAUGGGGGGACGGAGAAGGUUAGGCUGGCCGGGCGACGGUUGUCCCGGUUUAAGGAUGUAGGCAGGUGAAUUAGGCAAAUCCGGUUCACUAUAUGCUGAGGUCUGAUGACGAGUCACUACGGUGGCGAAGUAGCUCAUACCCCGCUUCCAGGAAAAGCCUCUAAGCUCUAGAUUAUCAUUAAUCGUACCCCAAACCGACACAGGUGGUCAGGUAGAGAAUACUCAGGCGCUUGAGAGAACUCGGGUGAAGGAACUAGGCAAAAUGGUGCCGUAACUUCGGGAGAAGGCACGCUGGCAUUAGGUGAAGUGGUUUACCCAUGGAGCUGAAGCCAGUCGCAGAUACCAGCUGGCUGCAACUGUUUAUUAAAAACACAGCACUGUGCAAACACGAAAGUGGACGUAUACGGUGUGACGCCUGCCCGGUGCUGGAAGGUUAAUUGAUGGGGUUAUCCGUAAGGAGAAGCUCUUGAUCGAAGCCCCAGUAAACGGCGGCCGUAACUAUAACGGUCCUAAGGUAGCGAAAUUCCUUGUCGGGUAAGUUCCGACCUGCACGAAUGGCGUAAUGAUGGCCAGGCUGUCUCCACCCGAGACUCAGUGAAAUUGAACUCGCUGUGAAGAUGCAGUGUACCCGCGGCAAGACGGAAAGACCCCGUGAACCUUUACUAUAGCUUGACACUGAACAUUGAGCCUUGAUGUGUAGGAUAGGUGGGAGGCUUUGAAGCGUGGACGCCAGUCUGCGUGGAGCCAACCUUGAAAUACCACCCUUUAAUGUUUGAUGUUCUAACGUAGCCCCGUAAUCCGGGGUGCGGACAGUGUCUGGUGGGUAGUUUGACUGGGGCGGUCUCCUCCCAAAGAGUAACGGAGGAGCACGAAGGUUGGCUAAGCAUGGUCGGACAUCAUGCGGUUAGUGCAAAGGCAUAAGCCAGCUUGACUGCGAGAGUGACGGCUCGAGCAGGUACGAAAGUAGGUCUUAGUGAUCCGGUGGUUCUGUAUGGAAGGGCCAUCGCUCAACGGAUAAAAGGUACUCCGGGGAUAACAGGCUGAUACCGCCCAAGAGUUCAUAUCGACGGCGGUGUUUGGCACCUCGAUGUCGGCUCAUCACAUCCUGGGGCUGAAGUAGGUCCCAAGGGUACGGCUGUUCGCCGUUUAAAGUGGUACGCGAGCUGGGUUUAGAACGUCGUGAGACAGUUCGGUCCCUAUCUGCCGUGGGCGUUGGAAGAUUGAAAGGGGCUGCUCCUAGUACGAGAGGACCGGAGUGGACGCACCACUGGUGUUCGGGUUGUCAUGCCAAUGGCAUUGCCCGGUAGCUAAGUGCGGAAGAGAUAACCGCUGAAAGCAUCUAAGCGGGAAACUUGCCUUGAGAUGAGUCUUCCCUGACCCUUUAAGGGUCCUAAAGGAACGUUUAAGACUAAGACGUUGAUAGGUUGGGUGUGUAAGCGUAGCGAUACGUUGAGCUAACCAAUACUAAUGAACCGUGAGGCUUAACCUGACAACACCGAAGGUGUUU